rnacentral:misc_RNA from 1 species
GGAAUAUUGGACAAUGGGCGCAAGCCUGAUCCAGCCAUGCCGCGUGGAUGAUGAAGGCCCUAGGGUUGUAAAGUCCUUUCGGCGGGGAAGAUAAUGACGGUACCCGCAGAAGAAGCCCCGGCUAACUUCGUGCCAGCAGCCGCGGUAAUACGAAGGGGGCUAGCGUUGCUCGGAAUCACUGGGCGUAAAGCGCACGUAGGCGGAUUGUUAAGUCAGGGGUGAAAUCCCGGAGCUCAACUCCGGAACUGCCUUUGAUACUGGCGAUCUUGAGUCCGGGAGAGGUGAGUGGAACUGCGAGUGUAGCGGUGAAAUUCGUAGAUAUUCGCAAGAACACCAGUGGCGAAGGCGGCUCACUGGCCCGGUACUGACGCUGAGGUGCGAAAGCGUGGGGAGCAAACAGGA